rnacentral:lncRNA from 1 species
CCUAUCAUGGGCUACUCUCGACCCUGGUGAUAGCAGCCAUCAGAUGGUGGAUGGAGUUCAACGAUCUGAGCCAGACCGCUUUUGAAAAAAUUUUAGAAGUAUGAAUCUGGGAAUUGAACAUCAAUUCCCAGAUUCCUACUCAGGAUCUCCAGGAUCGUCUCAGAUUUUUAUCAGUGUGAUUUUACGCCGCUUUCCAUUCGACGAGUACUAUGCACCGGGACAUUUCUAUACCCCUACAAGUCCGAACCACCGUCGAAUUCCGGAAUUCAGAAUUACUGUGAUUGGAUUAAUGUAUCGAUUAGGCAUAAUCAAACCGAACAAGAUUGUCCAUGCCGGAUUGCCCACGUAAAAACGUUUCUGCUUUCUAUCCAGACGAUCCAGGAUCAAAUUCGGGUCUCAUUCUUAUUUAAAAUUUAUAUCGGCCGGAUAGUCGCGUGGUAAUACAUUCGUUUACCACUUUGGAGAACUGGUUCAAAUCCGCAGGAGCGGACCGUUAACUUUGAAGGUCCUGGACUAACUGUUUGGGGCCUACCCAAUUAAUCCAAAUUAACCUAAAAUGUCAA